rnacentral:lncRNA from 1 species
AAAUUUGAGAUUCAUUACUGAAAAAUUAUAGGGUUCUGUCCAGGAAUCAGAUUGAGCUAGAAGUUCACAUUCACAGGAGAGAGAGAUGGGUGCCUAAAACUCAGUUUUCAUCUUGCGUACCCCAAGCCUUUGUGUAUCCAUAAAAGAAUUUAUCCUGAUAGAUAGAUAGAUAGAUAGAUAGAUGAUAGAUAGGUAGAUAGAUAGAUGAUAGAUAGGUAGAUGACCUUGCAAAAAGUGAUAUAGUCUGCAGGGUUCUGCGUCGAUUUAUCAUUUGGUCUGGAAGGUUCGCUCUUUAAGGUGUGUUGCUGCUCUAUGUACAGGUGGAAAAGGACUGCCCAGCACUAAGGAAGGAUGUCCCAUCUCCACCUCACCAGGAAGUAUGAUCCUGACUAUGGGUUUAACAAAUACAACGGCAUCGUGAUAUCAGCAGCUGUUCAUUGUUUCCUACCCUGUCCCCAGCUUUCUAACCCUUCCCCUCCUCAAAGCAGAUUAGAUCUGCAGAGCUGUGUCUUAUUUUUUUUUAUUUUUUUAUUUUUAUUUUUAUUUUUUUGGUUUUUCAAGACAGGGUUUCUCUGUAUAGCCCUGGCUGUCCUGGAACUCACUUUGUAGACCAAGCUGGCCUCGAACUCAGAAAUCUGCCUGCCUCCGCCUCCCGAGUGCUGGGAUUAAAGGCGUGCGCCACCACUGCCCGGCUCAGAGCUGUGUCUUAAGGAUGAAUUUGACCUGAGUACUUAUUACCUAGAAGAUAACACAGAGUCUACUUCCCUGAAAAGUCAGGAGAGAGAUGCUGGUCUGCAUCAGCUCUGUGGUCCCUGGGUUUUGGUUUGGUAUUACCCUAGGGAUAUCUGGGUAUGAUCGUAUAUAUGUAUAAUCCUAGCAGGUAGUCAAGAGAUCAGGAAUUCAAGGCCAGUCUUAGCUUCAUAGCAAGUUAGAGACCAGGCUGGGCUACGUGAGAUCUUGCCUUUAAAAGAUGUACACACACAAAUACACAAACAGGCCUGCCCCUGCCCCUACUAUCCUACAGGGUAGGUACUAAUAUCCCUUAUUUCAAGAGUCAGAAACAGGAGGAUUGCCACGAGUCAAGGGCAGUCUAGGCUACAAACUAUGAAUUCCAGGCCAGCCUGGGCUGCAGAAUGAAGCACGAACUUUCAGAGGUGCUAAAUGUUUUAGAUAAAAAUUUCCUUCUGUGUUUUUCUUUUUGAGUCAGGGCCUCAUGUAGCUCAGACUAAGAACCCAUCCUGAAACUUUGAUAUCAAAGUUUUGUUUGUUUGGUGGGUUUUGUUUGUGUUUUGCUUAGAAGGAUUUACCCAAGGCAGCAUUCACACCUGGUUGCUUCUCUGUAAUGAGUGCUGUUUUUUUGUAUUUUGUUUUUGUUUUUAGAGUUCCUGAAGUCAUGUUGGCCUUAGAUGGCCCUUGGGGAGAACACCUUUUGCAUUCUUACUCUUGGGCCUGGAAAAGUAUAAUAUGGGUAUCCAUGGUAACCAGUAGAGCGGCAUCUCAGUGAGUGGAAGGCUAUAGGUAGCUAAAACGAAGCCACCAUGACUCAGUGGGCGUCUCAAAGACUGGCAUCAUCGCUGAAGAGUAGAUCUUCUCUGCUUGAGAGACUUGAUUUUAACGGGGGGGGGUGGCAUAGGUGACACUGAAGGGAAGAGGGGACCAUUGGGAUCUGCAGAGGGGCUUACAGAUUACAUGGAAUCUUGCUGGGGAGGUAGCUCAGCUGCUAGAGAACUUGUAUGCAUGUUCUGGCUACAAUGGUAACCCUGGGAGCUACAAUGGGUUCCCUGGUGCUACAAUGACCUGGGAGUGGUGGUACGGCCGACGUCCCUGGUGCUACAUGACCUGGGAGCGGUGGUACAUGCCUAUAAUACCAGGACUCUAGAGGCCAAGGUGUUCAGAUCAUCCUUAACUCUCUAGGGAGUUUGAGACCAGACAGAUGGGAACUGCACCCUGUUUUAGAAGCAAACAGCUAGGUGUGGUGACACAUACCUUUAAUCCGAGCACUAGGGAGGCAGAUACAGGUGGAUCCCUGGGAGUUUAAAGCCAGUGUGGUCUACACAGUCCAGCUAAAGCUAUACAAUUGAGGCAGUGUCUCAAACAAU